rnacentral:rRNA from 1 species
GACAGAGGGUGCAAACGUUGUUCGGAAUUACUGGGCGUAAAGGGCUCGUAGGCGGCCAACUAAGUCGGAUGUGAAAUCCCCAGGCUUAACCUGGGAACUGCAUCCGAUACUGGAUGGCUUGAAUCCGGGAGAGGGAUGCGGAAUUCCAGGUGUAGCGGUGAAAUGCGUAGAUAUCUGGAGGAACACCGGUGGCGAAGGCGGCAUCCUGGACCGGCAUUGACGCUGAGGCGCGAAAGCUAGGGGAGCAAACGGG